GGAUGAACGCUGACAGAAUGCUUAACACAUGCAAGUCUUUGGCAAAUCUGUGCUUGCACAGCCUAGCCAAGGCGGACGGGUGAGUAACGCGUAAAGAACUUGCCCUGCAGACAGGGAUAACAGACGGAAACGACUGAUAAUACCUGAUACAAUUGCCAGCACGCAUGUGCCCGGCAAUGAAAAGUGAUGCUGCAGGAGAGCUUUGCGUCCUAUUAGCUUGUUGGUGAGGUAAUGGCUCACCAAGGCGAUGAUAGGUAGCCGGCCUGAGAGGGUGAACGGCCACAAGGGGACUGAGAUACGGCCCUUACUCCUACGGGAGGCAGCAGUGGGGAAUAUUGGACAAUGGGGGAAACCCUGAUCCAGCAAUUCUGUGUGCACGAAGAAGGUUUUCGGAUUGUAAAGUGCUUUCAGCAGGGAAGAAGAAAGUGACGGUACCUGCAGAAGAAGCGACGGCUAAAUACGUGCCAGCAGCCGCGGUAAUACGUAUGUCGCAAGCGUUAUCCGGAAUUAUUGGGCAUAAAGGGCAUCUAGGCGGCCAGACAAGUCUGGGGUGAAAACUUGCGGCUCAACCGCAAGCCUGCCCUGGAAACUGUUUGGCUAGAGUGCUGGAGAGGUGGACGGAACUGCACGAGUAGAGGUGAAAUUCGUAGAUAUGUGCAGGAAUGCCGAUGAUGAAGAUAGUUCACUGGACGGUAACUGACGCUGAAGUGCGAAAGCUGGGGGAGCGAACAGGAUUAGAUACCCUGGUAGUCCCAGCCGUAAACGAUGAUUACUGGGUGUGGGCAUGAAGAGUGUCCGUGCCGAAGCUAAUGCGAUAAGUAAUCCGCCUGGGGAGUACGGCCGCAGGCUGAAACUCAAGGAAUUGACGGGGACCCGCACAAGCGGUGGAGCAUGUGGUUUAAUUCGACGCAACGCGAGACCUUACCAGAUCUUGACAUCCCACGUAUGCCUACGAGAGUAGGCAGUGCCUUCGGGACGUGAGAAGGUGGUGCAUGCCGUUCGACAGCUCGUGUCUGUGAGAUGUUGGGUUAAGUCCGCCAA
rnacentral:rRNA from 1 species